UUCAAACGGGGCAAUCACAGCGCACCUCCUGAAGCUCCGCCCCUGCAGAGAGCUACCUGUCAGUCACAUGUCAGCAUUAGUGAUGCUACUGUGAACGUGCGAGCGGAGGCUGCUGCUGUGAUGCUCUGCCUCUGUGGUUUUGUUGCUUUGUAUCGUGAGGACAGUACAGACGCACAACCACUUAGGUGACAGGAGCACCAACACUUUGAAGUUGUGUUUCGAACCUUACAGGAGAGAAAAGGAGGAGAAGGUGAUGGCGCUGGUGACGGUCUGUCUGCUGCUGUGGGCUGUUGGAGUUGCACUCGUUUCAGCAACAGCUGACGUGGACGUAGAAGACGAUGACUUUCCGGACGGCAGCGGGGAAUCCCCAGCGUCUGAUGGAGGCAGCUCAGCGUUGGACUCAGAUGGACUCGUUUUUCUGUGUUCUCUGCUCACAUGGAUAUUUGCAUGAAGAAUGAUCGACUCGUCGGGCUGUUUGGAUUUGGACCCACCUGAGACCGACCCGGCUCUCAACAGACUCUGUUUAUCUUUAAUAGACCGACAUGUGCAGUAAAAGCACCAGAAUAAAGAAUGUAUGAAGGUCGUGCUCUGUUCAGCUGUAACUAAUGUUUUAUUUAUUUAGUUUCCUGUUUGUCAUAGUCAAAAUCAACCUCUUCACUGUCUGUCACAUGUCAGCGUGUUGUCAUUAAAUAGUUCUUCAAUCAACCAGUGUCCACUAUAAUAGUAGCCUGCUUUUAAUAAUACAACACCAGAAGCAGCGUGCUGCUGAUGUGACAGUUUGCUCUGGAUGUGGUUAAACAGUUCCUGUUCUGUGACGUGAGCUCAGACGCUGUGACAGACGACAGAACGGUGGUUGGAGGAGAUCACAGAGAGGCAGGAGCUGGAGGCCAUGACCAGGGUUCAUGUGCUCAUCGGUGCUGCUGUGGUGAUGGAUACCACAACCACAACCCCACAGAUCCCUCAGAUCACGGCUCGUGCUCCUCCUCAGCUGCCACGGACAACAGCAUUAUCAGCUACAGGCUGCUCUACGUCACUACGGCCAUCUGCGCGUGGCAUAUUAAUUACAACAAACGUAGUGGUGUCACCAAGAAGACAAAAUCUGAAACGUCACCGUAUCCACAAAUUAAAGCUCUGAUUAAACUUUAAAGUUGAACGAGUAAAAGGUUUGAUUGAACCUUCAAUAAAAUCUGCACACUCACAUACUCGUACAAACUCAUGACAUCUCUGUAGUUACCAGUAAAAAUAAACUGUGAAGAAGCAAACAUGUGUGUGA